rnacentral:miRNA from 1 species
GAGCUCAGGCAGGGGUCCAAUAAUCUCGCUGGGGCCUCCAAAUCUUAUGACUCACACAGCUGAGACAGAGACUUGGACCCCACUUAAAUGUAAUUAAUUAAUAGAAAUUUAUU